rnacentral:rRNA from 1 species
CCUACGGGAGGCAGCAGUGAGGAAUAUUGGUCAAUGGACGAGAGUCUGAACCAGCAAAGUAGCGUGAAGGAUGACUGCCCUAUGGGUUGUAAACUUCUUUUAUAUGGGAAUAAAACAGGGUAUGCAUACCCUCUUGUAUGUACCAUAUGAAUAAGGAUCGGCUAACUCCGUGCCAGCAGCCGCGGUAAUACGGAGGAUCCGAGCGUUAUCCGGAUUUAUUGGGUUUAAAGGAAGCGUAGGUGGAUUGUUAAGUCAGUUGUGAAAGUUUGCGGCUCAACCGUAAAAUUGCAGUUGAAACUGGUAGUCUUGAGUACAGUAGAGGUGGGCGGAAUUCGUGGUGUAGCGGUGAAAUGCUUAGAUAUCACGAAGAACUCCGAUUGCGAAGGCAGUUCACUGGACUGCAACUGACACUGAGGCUCGAAAGUGUGGGUAUCAAACAGGAUUAGAUACCCCUGUAGUC